GGCUAAACUAAGGACUGUGAGCAGUUGACUCUUAAUCAAUUGGUCCAGGGUUCGAGUCCCUGAGAGUCCA
rnacentral:tRNA from 1 species